rnacentral:rRNA from 1 species
AGAGUCUGAUCCUGGCUCAGAACGAACGCUGGCGGGCGUGGAUAAGACAUGCAAGUCGAACGAGAGAAUUGCUAGCUUGCUAAUAAUUCUCUAGUGGCGCACGGGUGAGUAACACGUGAGUAACCUGCCCCCGAGAGCGGGAUAGCCCUGGGAAACUGGGAUUAAUACCGCAUAGUAUCGAAAGAUUAAAGCAGCAAUGCGCUUGGGGAUGGGCUCGCGGCCUAUUAGUUAGUUGGUGAGGUAACGGCUCACCAAGGCGAUGACGGGUAGCCGGUCUGAGAGGAUGUCCGGCCACACUGGAACUGAGACACGGUCCAGACACCUACGGGUGGCAGCAGUCGAGAAUCAUUCACAAUGGGGGAAACCCUGAUGGUGUGACGCCGCGUGGGGGAAUGAAGGUCUUCGGAUUGUAAACCCCUGUCAUGUGGGAGCAAAUUAAAAAGAUAGUACCACAAGAGGAAGAGACGGCUAACUCUGUGCCAGCAGCCGCGGUAAUACAGAGGUCUCAAGCGUUGUUCGGAAUCACUGGGCGUAAAGCGUGCGUAGGCUGUUUCGUAAGUCGUGUGUGAAAGGCGCGGGCUCAACCCGCGGACGGCACAUGAUACUGCGAGACUAGAGUAAUGGAGGGGGAACCGGAAUUCUCGGUGUAGCAGUGAAAUGCGUAGAUAUCGAGAGGAACACUCGUGGCGAAGGCGGGUUCCUGGACAUUAACUGACGCUGAGGCACGAAGGCCAGGGGAGCGAAAGGGAUUAGAUACCCCUGUAGUCCUGGCAGUAAACGGUGCACGCCUGGUGUGCGGGGAAUCGACCCCCUGCGUGCCGGAGCUAACGCGUUAAGCGUGCCGCCUGGGGGAGACCGUC